CAAAAGGCUCUUUUCAGAGCCGCCAAUACUUCCUUUGGAAGAACU
rfam:Cavia porcellus supercont2_108 genomic scaffold, whole genome shotgun sequence.